rnacentral:rRNA from 1 species
GACGAUCGCUGGCGGCGUGCUUAACACAUGCAAAGUCGAACGAUGAAGCGCUGUCUUUUUGGUGGUGUGGAUUAGUGGCGAACGGGUGAGUAAUACGCGGGCAACCUGCCCCUCUGCUUCGGGAUAAGCUUUGGAAACGAGGUCUAAUACCGGAUGUGCCUGUCUGGUCGCAUGGCUGGGCGGGGAAAGAUGUUUUUCGGCGGGGGAUGGGCUCGCGGCCUAUCAGCUUGUUGGUGGGGUGACGGCCUACCAAGGCGUCGACGGGUAGCCGGCCUGAGAGGGUGGUCGGCCACACUAGGACUGAGAUACGGCCCAGACUCCUACGGGAGGCAGCAGUGGGGGAUAUUGCACAAUGGGCGCAAGCCUGAUGCAGCGACGCCGCGUGGGGGAUGGAGGCUUUCGGGUUGUAAACCCCUUUCGGCGCGGGACAAGGCUCCGUUUGGCGGGGUUGAGGGUACGGGUCAAAGAAGCGCCGGGUAACUACGUGCCAGCAGCCGCGGUAAUUCGUAGGGCGAGCAAGUUGUCAGGAAUUAUUGGGCGUAAAGGCCGAAAAACAUCUUUCCCCGCCCAGCCAGAAGACCAGACAGUCACAUCCGGU